AGUGAACGCUGGCGGCGUGCCUAAUACAUGCAAGUCGAACGAAGUGGCGCACGGGCGAGUAAUAUAUAGUUAAUCUGCUCUAUACAGAGGAACAACAGCUGGAAACGACUGUUAAUACCUCAUAGUGUAGGAUGAGACUAUAUCGUAUCAGCUAGUUGGUAUGGUAAUGGCUUACCAAGGCGAUGACGCGUAACAGGUCUGAGAGGAUGAUCAGUCACAUUGGAACGGAGACACGGUCCAAGCUGCUACGGAAAGGAGCAGUAAGGAAUAUUGCGCAAUGGGGGAAACCCUAGCAGAUCGACGCGGCGUGGAGGAUGACACUUUUCGGAGCGUAAACUCCUUUUAUCAGGAGAGCGGUACCUGAUGAAUAAGCACCGGCUAACUCCGUGCCAGCCGCCGCGGUAAUUC
rnacentral:rRNA from 1 species